CUACUCUUGACAUCCUGCGAACUUGGUAGAGAUACCUUGGUGCCUUCGGGAACUCUGAGACAGGUGCUGCAUGGCCGUCGUCAGCUCGUGUCGUGAGAUGUUGGGUUAAGUCCCGUAACGAGCGCAACCCCUAUCCCUGGUUGCUAGCAGGUAAUGCUGAGAACUCCAGGGAGACUGCCGGUGACAAACCGGAGGAAGGUGGGGAUGACGUCAGGUCAUCAUGGCCCUUACGGCCAGGGCUACACACGUGCUACAAUGGCGCGUACAGAGGGCUGCCAACUCGCGAGAGUGAGCCAAUCCCUUAAAACGCGUCGUAGUCCGGAUCGGAGUCUGCAACUCGACUCCGUGAAGUCGGAAUCGCUAGUAAUCGCGAAUCAGAAUGUCGCGGUGAAUACGUUCCC
rnacentral:rRNA from 1 species